UUGCCAAAGGUUAAUUACUGGGGUCAAGGUCACAGGCUCAAUGAUCAAUAGUUAAAGAAUUUUCCCAGUCUGAUUUGCAUCACACUUAGCCCACAUUUGGAAAUGGUUUCUUGACUUGGAGAGCAAGAUCAAAUUUGAAAAUAAAUAAAUAAAUCACA